rnacentral:rRNA from 1 species
UACGGAGGGAGCUAGCGUUGUUCGGAAUUACUGGGCGUAAAGCGCGCGUAGGCGGCUUUGUAAGUUAGAGGUGAAAGCCCGGGGCUCAACCCCGGAAUUGCCUUUAAGACUGCAUCGCUUGAAUCCGGGAGAGGUGAGUGGAAUUCCGAGUGUAGAGGUGAAAUUCGUAGAUAUUCGGAAGAACACCAGUGGCGAAGGCGGCUCACUGGACCGGCAUUGACGCUGAGGUGCGAAAGCGUGGGGGAGCAAACAGG